rnacentral:rRNA from 1 species
UGGGGAAUUUUGCACAAUGGGGGAAACCCUGAUGCAGCGACGCCGCGUGAUUUAGAAGGCCUUCUGGUUGUAAAAAUCUUUUCUAUGGGAAGAAAAUGACAGUACCACAGGAAUAAGGACCGGCUAAUUACGUGCCAGCAGCCGCGGUAAUACGUAAGGUCCGAGCGUUGUCCGGAAACAUUGGGCGUAAAGGGUACGUAGGCGGGUAAGCAAGUUAGAAGUGAAAUCCUAUAGGCCAACUAUAGUAAGCUUUUAAAACUGCUGAGCUUUAGGUAUGGAAGAGAAAGUGGAAUUCCUAGUGUAGCGGAGAAAUGCGGAGAUCUUAGAAGGAAUACCGGUGGCGAAGGCGACUUUCUGGCCAUAACCUGAUGAUGAGGAACGAAAGAGUGGGUAGCAAACAGG